rnacentral:rRNA from 1 species
GUGAGGUGGAGCGAACCCCUAAAAGCCGUCCCAGUUCAGAUCGCAGUCUGCAACUCGACUGCGUGAAGUCGGAAUCGCUAGUAAUCGCGGAUCAGCAUGCCGCGGUGAAUACGUUCCCGGGCCUUGUACACACCGCCCGUCACACCAUGAGAGUCGGGAACACCCGAAGCCCGUAGCCUAACAGCAAUGAGGGCGCGGUCGAAGGUGGGUUCGAUAAUUGGGGUGAAGUCGUAACAAGGUAUC